rnacentral:rRNA from 1 species
GACGAACGCUGGCGGCGUGCUUAACACAUGCAAGUCGAACGGAAAGGCCCUGCUUUUGUGGGGUGCUCGAGUGGCGAACGGGUGAGUAACACGUGAGUAACCUGCCCUUGACUUUGGGAUAACUUCAGGAAACUGGGGCUAAUACCGGAUAGGAGCUCCUGCUGCAUGGUGGGGGUUGGAAAGUUUCGGCGGUUGGGGAUGGACUCGCGGCUUAUCAGCUUGUUGGUGGGGUAGUGGCUUACCAAGGCUUUGACGGGUAGCCGGCCUGAGAGGGUGACCGGCCACAUUGGGACUGAGAUACGGCCCAGACUGCUACGGGGGGCAGCAGUGGGGAAUAUUGCACAAUGGGCGGAAGCCUGAUACAGCAACGCCGCGUGCGGGAUGACGGCCUUCGGGUUGUAAACCGCUUUCGCCUGUGACGAAGCGUGAGUGACGGUAAUGGGUAAAGAAGCACCGGCUAACUACGUG